AUGUAUUCAUCUGUGUGUCAGUUUAUGUGUGCAUGUGUACAUUAUUACAGCAUUCAAACUCCAAAAUUAUAUAACACAUCAAUACUACACACACAUGUACACCCACAUUUAAAAUCCAACACUACAAACACAUCUUUGCAAUCAAAUGCAAACAUAACAAAUACACCCCUGUAUUAAAAUACUAAAGUGAAAAACAAACUCUCCUGCAUUCACACACAAACCCUAC